rnacentral:rRNA from 1 species
AUUGAACGCUGGCGGCAUGCUUUACACAUGCAAGUCGAACGGCAGCGCGGGGCAACCUGGCGGCGAGUGGCGAACGGGUGAGUAAUAUAUCGGAACGUACCCAAGAGUGGGGGAUAACGUAGCGAAAGUUACGCUAAUACCGCAUACGAUCUAAGGAUGAGAGCAGGGGACCGCAAGGCUUUGUGCUCCUGGAGCGGCCGAUAUCUGAUUAGCUAGUUGGUGAGGUAAAGGCUCACCAAGGCGACGAUCAGUAGCUGGUCUGAGAGGACGACCAGCCACCCUGGAACUGAGACACGGUCCAGACUCCUACGGGAGGCAGCAGUGGGGAAUUUUGGACAAUGGGCGCAAGCCUGAACCAGCAAUGCCGCGUGAGUGAAGAAGGCCUUCGGGUUGUAAAGCUCUUUUGUCAGGGAAGAAACGGGAGUGGCUAAUAUCUGCUUCUAAUGACGGUACCUGAAGAAUAAGCACCGGCUAACUACGUGCCAGCCGCCGCAGUAAAAC